rnacentral:rRNA from 1 species
UCCGCAGGGGGCCUGCCAAGUCUGUCGUGAAAUCCCGGGGCUCAACCCCGGAUCUGCGGUGGAAACAGGCGGGCUGGAGUGUGUGAGGGGUAGACGGAACACCUGGUGUAGCGGUGGAAUGCGUGGAUAUCAGGUGGAACACCGAUGGCGAAGGCGGUCUACUGGCACACAACUGACCCUCAGGGACGAAAGCGUGGGUAGCAAACA